GAUGAAGAACGCAGUGAAAUGCGAUAAGUAAUGUGAAUUGCAGAAUUCAGUGAAUCAUCGAAUCUUUGAACGCACAUUGCGCCCGCCAGUAUUCUGGCGGGCAUGCCUGUUCGAGCGUCAUUUCAACCAUCAAGCCCCCGGCUUGUGUUGGGGACCUGCGGCUGCCGCAGGCCCUGAAAAGCAGUGGCGGGCUCGCUGUCACACCGAGCGUAGUAGCAUACAUCUCGCUCUGGGCGUGCUGCGGGUUCCGGCCGUUAAACCACCUUCAUAACCCAAGGUUGACCUCGGAUCAGGUAGGAAGACCCGCUGAACUUAAGCAUAUCAAUAAGCGGAGG
rnacentral:misc_RNA from 1 species